rnacentral:rRNA from 1 species
GCAGCCGCCGCGGUAAUACGAAGGGUGCAAGCGUUAAUCGGAAUUACUGGGCGUAAAGCGCGCGUAGGUGGUUUGGUAAGAUGGAUGUGAAAUCCCCGGGCUCAACCUGGGAACUGCAUCCAUAACUGCCUGACUAGAGUACGGUAGAGGGUGGUGGAAUUUCCUGUGUAGCGGUGAAAUGCGUAGAUAUAGGAAGGAACACCAGUGGCGAAGGCGACCACCUGGACUGAUACUGACACUGAGGUGCGAAAGCGUGGGGAGCAAACAGGAUUAGAUACCCCAGUAGUCCCUGUCUCUUAUAC